UACGAAGGGGGCUAGCGUUGUUCGGAAUUACUGGGCGUAAAGCGCGCGCAGGCGGCUAUCCAAGUCAGUGGUGAAAGCCCGGAGCUCAACUCCGGAACUGCCAUUGAAACUGUUUAGCUUGAGGAUGAGAGAGGUGAGUGGAAUUCCCAGUGUAGAGGUGAAAUUCGUAGAUAUUGGGAAGAACACCGGUGGCGAAGGCGGCUCACUGGCUCAUUACUGACGCUCAGGCGCGAUAGCGUGGGGAGUCAAACAGG
rnacentral:rRNA from 1 species